UCAUAGUUUUACUUUAUUUUACUUUCAUUCAACCAAGCUCCUUUCUAGAAAAUCUUCGUUUGUUGGUAGAUAAAAAUACAUUCUCAGAUUCUCCCAGAAGCGGCGCCAUCAGCUUCAUGGACUAAAAAGAAGCCUCGUUUCCUCGUGCCGCUAUAGAAAUGUCUUCCUUCUCCACUCCGGGCUUAACCGGAUCAAAGUCUCUUUGUCCUUAGUUGAUUGUUCUCAGAAAAUCUGGAGUCCAGACAGGCUUGAGCCAGGAGAGGGUGACCUCUUGAGGGCAGACCCCGAGGCAUGGCGCGUCUCCUCGCUCCUCAGACCCAGGAGAGCUGCGCCCCCUCUCAGUGCGCGGGGAGAGUACUCCAGCCGAGCCGAGAAAUCCGUUACCAGGCUGCUGUGUCCCCAAGGGCCAUUCCAGGGCGGAAGAGGACGGGGAAAACCGCUGUGUUGAUUCCUCAGCCCUGUGGGCUGGGCGCGCAGCGGGUCAGGUUACAGACAGGUAUAAAGGCAGAGAGGAAAAGCCAAAACCAAAAAUAAAUACAAAGCUCUCCAGCCAACUCCCCAGUAGCAGCCGACUUCACUUUGCUGGGAAACGUGUUUCCCAACCUCAGAAUUUGGGGAGCGGGCGGUUGGGGGGAGACCAUAAUGGGAGUGGGCAAGGAUAAGAAAUUUGUUAUGAAGCCGCGUUUGCAUAACAUGCGCUUGGCUUUUGUUUCCAUUGUGUGUUUAUCUGGGUUGAUGGGGCUCUUGGAGCGGUAGGUCUUGGAGUGGAAGCUGCUUUAGCAGAGCUAGCCGACUUGUUUUUCCUAGAUUGUACGGCACAAAUCAAUAAUGACGUGGUCUAAAGCUGCCGAACUUUAAAUUAUAUUAUUACCGUGUUUAUUUGGGGGACUGUUGUAAAUUAUGGGGAGCCUAAGCCCCCAAGUCGCCCCCCCCCUUACGAGAUGAGCCCUGCAGUCUCCUCGCCGCCUCCACCUUCCGCCCGCCGAGAUUUCAACUAGCCGCGGCAACCAUUCACCAAGACCGAAGGAACUGAGCCAUUUUCUUGCUUGCCUGUCGGAGACAAUCCACCUGGGGGCGGGGAGGGGGGGUGCAUCUCGCAGGAAUCUCCAACUCUUAGGAUGGAUGCGCGGGGAAGCGGACCUGGGGGCUUACCUCUAAGAGUUUGCCCUGAGAUGCAUGUGAUGGGGACUGGGGCGAGAGGUUGAUUAAAAAAUGUUCUUCCCUUUUUAAAAAGGGGAGGGGGGCGGAGAAUCAGACGUUAAAUUCUUUUGCAAACAUUCAUGCCUAAGGAAGGGCUGGAACAGGCAGCCCCGGCCGCCGGAACCGGUCGGACAGGUAGCGAGCUUGUUGACACCGUUAUGUUGCAGGGCGCAUGCUCACUCCCAAGUUUCCUGGUGCCUUUUCUAUUCCACCUUAUGAAACUUUUUCCUCGGCGUGGUCUCACCCGCGAUUUAAGGCAUAGGUGUCGCGGAGCUUGGAGGCUGGGAGUCGCCGGGCGUGCGGGGGAGAGGCCUGGGCCGCGCCGCGGCGGGGGGCGGAGGGAGAGGGCAGGAUAGGCGGGAAGGUGGGCUCUGGCCGCCGGGAGCCGGGUAUCGAGUCCCUGCCGCAGUUUCUAGCGGGGAGCAGCCGGGAGGAGGGGGCCGCCGGCCGGGGAGGGGGCCACGCCAUGCCCAAAGUCUUCCUGGUGAAGAGGAGGAGCCCGGGGGUCUCCGUCCGCAGCUGGGAUGAGCUCCCGGAUGAGGAAAGGGCAGACACCUACAUCCCAGGUGAGCGCCGCGCGGGGGCCGGGCCUGGGCGCGGGACUCCCGGAGUGGGGGCAGGGGUGGUCGGGUUCCCUCCGCUCCUCCGCGGGGCCUGGACUCUCCACCCCUUGCCGCUUCUUUCGGGGCGGCGGGGAGGGGGGUGCUUCUUGAGGAGCGGGAAGACGGAGAGUGAGAGGCUGGGAACCCGGGACGCCCUGCGCCCCCUUCCCCCUAGUGGGCGCCAGUAAUUGCCCGGCGGCGGGACCGUUGGCUGCCGCGCUGGCCGAGGUGAACCGAAGGAGGGGAGACCGAAGGCCAGUAGGGGCUACUCUUAGUCCCACGUCCUCAUGGGAUUGCACCAGGAUCCGUCAGCCCCUCGGGCUGGUGGGCCUCGGCCGUCUGCUCCACGACCCCCCC